rnacentral:lncRNA from 1 species
UGUGGUACAGAAUAAAAAAUGACUGCUCUGUAAGUUUGGCCUACACUGCUGUAGAGAUCGACUCAUGCAUAGGGGUUGACUCAUGGGGUCGACUCAUAGGGUGUGCCAGCCAAAAAUUCAGCGUGCCAUUCAGCCCUUUUUGUCAUGAGUCGACUCAUGGGGUCGACUCAAAUACAUAAAUCUGAUUUUCUUACAAAAUUCACAUCCAGA